rnacentral:rRNA from 1 species
AUUGAACGCUGGCGGCAUGCCUUACACAUGCAAGUCGAACGGUAACAGGUCUUCGGAUGCUGACGAGUGGCGAACGGGUGAGUAAUACUUCGGAACGUGCCCGAGAGUGGGGGAUAACGAGGCGAAAGCUUUGCUAAUACCGCAUACGAUCUCAGGAUGAAAGCAGGGGACCGCAAGGCCUUGCGCUCACGGAGCGGCCGAUGGCAGAUUAGGUAGUUGGUGGGAUAAAAGCUUACCAAGCCGACGAUCUGUAGCUGGUCUGAGGGGACGACCAGCCACACUGGGACUGAGACACGGCCCAGACUCCUACGGGAGGCAGCAGUGGGGAAUUUUGGACAAUGGGCGCAAGCCUGAUCCAGCCAUGCCGCGUGCAGGAUGAAGGCCUUCGGGUUGUAAACUGCUUUUGUACGGAACGAAAAGACUCUGGUUAAUACCUGGGGUCCAUGACGGUACCGUAAGAAUAAGCACCGGCUAACUACGUGCCAGCCGCCGCCGUAACAC